UACGGGGGGGGCAAGCGUUGUUCGGAAUUACUGGGCGUAAAGGGUUUGUAGGUGGCUUGUUAAGUCAGACGUGAAAUCCCUCAGCUUAACUGGGGAACUGCGUCUGAUACUGGCGAGCUUGAGUGCAGGAGAGGAACGCGGAAUUCCAGGUGUAGCGGUGAAAUGCGCAGAUAUCAGGAGGAACACCGGUGGCGAAGGCGGGUCUCUGGAACGGUACUGACGCUGAGACGCGAAAGCGUGGGGAGCGAACAGG
rnacentral:rRNA from 1 species